AGGGAUGCACCGAUACCGGUAUCUGGUAUCGGCCUCGAUACCACAUUUUCUAAAGUACUCGUACUCAUUAGAAGUCCCCCGAUACCGGGGACCGAUACCACGGUCUGAGACCUGUCUAUGUUUGAGCGGCAUGUAAGGGGUUAAUCACAUGCCCCAGCUGCAGCUCAGAGCGGGGAGAAGGCAAGGCGAGACAUGUCAGCCGUGUGGAACUAUUUCGAAGUGAACGAAGACGCGAAAACAAAGGCGGACUGCAAAUUGUGCUCAGGGAAAUUGUCCAGAUGAGGCUCAAAAGGUAGCGCAUUUAACACAAGUAAUUUAAUCAAGCACCUAAAAUCCCAACAAGACAACAAGUACAAAGAGUUUACCCACGCUUAUUUACCCAUGCUUAUUAGCACAGAGGAGCAUAGCUGAUGCUAUAGCAGUGGGACGGAAAAUAGUUGGGCAUUUUAAACAUUCCACCUUAGCCUACUCCCGCCUCAAGGACAUUCAGGGACAGCUCAACCAGCCAAUAAAGAGACUGCAGCAGGACGUACAGACACGCUGGAACAGCACGUAUUACAUGCUCCAGUCCCUCAUACAGCAAAAGCGAGUGCUGGGGGUGUAUGUGUCCGAGCAUGAACUCCCUGACUAUCUCACCGCUCACCAAUGGGCUCUUAUGGAGACGAGGACGAGGACCACGGCGCCAAGACAAUGAAAGCAACCUUACUGGCAGCUGUCAAGAAGCGCUUCAGUGACGUCGAGACCAACUCACUGUACUUCAUCUCCACCAUACCUGACCUAAGUAACUCUCCAGAUGCAAACCUUCCCCAGAAAAGCUUCAUUCGGAGGCAGGACUUCUAGACAGUUUUCUCAGCCGUGGCUUUGCUCGCCCUAUGUGCCUGCCUGCCUCCCUGGCUCAGCUUCUGGAGUUCUGGAUUCCUCCCCACUCACUCGGACAAUUCUCCCCUCCAUGCUACUCCUCCACCUGCAGCAAGGAAUCCCCUUGAACCAGCCAUCCAGUAUGUCUACAUCCUUUUUGGCCACAAAGUCAUAGAACUGUCAUUUUCACUGUCCAAGUUUCUCUGAUUGCUUUCAUAGCUCAGGUUGCAUAUGUACUUCACAGUUUUGCAUUAUUCAUAGUUUAUGUUCAUUCCCACAGUUCACAGUUUACUUGUCUUGUACAUUCACUUGUUUCUCUAAAUAAAUUUGGUUACUAAACGUUUAA